rnacentral:rRNA from 1 species
CGUAGGGUGCGAGCGUUAAUCGGAAUUACUGGGCGUAAAGCGUGCGCAGGCGGUUAUAUAAGACAGAUGUGAAAUCCCCGGGCUCAACCUGGGACCUGCAUUUGUGACUGUAUAGCUAGAGUACGGUAGAGGGGGAUGGAAUUCCGCGUGUAGCAGUGAAAUGCGUAGAUAUGCGGAGGAACACCGAUGGCGAAGGCAAUCCCCUGGACCUGUACUGACGCUCAUGCACGAAAGCGUGGGGAGCAAACAGGAUUAGAUACCCUGGUAGUCCACGCCCUAAACGAUGUCAACUGGUUGUUGGGUCUUCACUGACUCAGUAACGAAGCUAACGCGUGAAGUUGACCGCCUGGGGAGUACGGCCGCAAGGUUGA